AGCACAGAUGAUGAACAACAAAGGGACUUAAUGCUGAAAUCUGAUGUUACAUUGUGACAUGCUGAUGGGUGC